AGAGACAGCAGCCGCCACGGGAAUACAGAGGGUGCGAGCGUUAAUCGGAUUUACUGGGCGUAAAGCGUGCGUAGGCGGCUUUUUAAGUCGGAUGUGAAAUCCCUGAGCUUAACUUAGGAAUUGCAUUCGAUACUGGGAAGCUAGAGUAUGGGAGAGGAUGGUAGAAUUCCAGGUGUAGCGGUGAAAUGCGUAGAGAUCUGGAGGAAUACCGAUGGCGAAGGCAGCCAUCUUGCCUAAUACUGACGCUGAGGUACGAAAGCAUGGGGAGCAAACAGGAUUAGAUACCCCUGUAGUCCCUGUCUCUUAUAA
rnacentral:rRNA from 1 species